GGGCAUAAGCUCAAUGGUAGAGCACCUGCUUUGCAUGCAGAUGGUCCAAGGGUUCAAUUUCUGGGAUAUCCC